ensembl:lncRNA
CCCAGGUCCCAGUAUAGUCUACUCCCACAGCCCUUCCCCCACAGACAGACAGGUGCCAGGUCCCAGUAUAGUCUACUCCCACAGCCCUUCCCCACAGACAGGCAGGUGCCAGGUCCCAGUAUAGUCUACUCCCACAGCCCUUCCCCCACAGACAGACAGGUGCCAGGUCCCAGUAUAGUCUACUCCCACAGCCCUCCCCACAGACAGGCGGGUGGCAGGUCCCAGUAUAGUCUACUCCCACAGCCCUUCCCCCACAGACAGACAGGUGGCAGGUGGCAGGUCCCAGUAUAGUCUACUCCCACAGCCCUUCCCCCACAGACAGACAGGUGCCAGGUCCCAGUAUAGUCUACUCCCACAGCCCUUCCCCCACAGACAGACAGGUGCCAGGUCCCAGUAUAGUCUACUCC